AGCGUACACGGUGGAUGCCCUGGCAGUCAGAGGCGAUGAAGGACGUGCUAAUCUGCGAUAAGCGUCGGUGAGGUGAUAUGAACCGUUAUAACCGGCGAUUUCCGAAUGGGGAAACCCAGUGUGUUUCGACACACUAUCAUUAACUGAAUCCAUAGGUUAAUGAGGCGAACCGGGGGAACUGAAACAUCUAAGUACCCCGAGGAACUGAAACAUCUAAGUACCCCGAGGAAAAGAAAUCAACCGAGAUUCCCCCAGUAGCGGCGAGCGAACGGGGAGGAGCCCAGAGCCUGAAUCAGUGUGUGUGUUAGUGGAAGCGUCUGGAAAGGCGUGCGAUACAGGGUGACAGCCCCGUACACAAAAAUGCACAUAUUGUGAGCUCGAUGAGUAGGGCGGGACACGUGGUAUCCUGUCUGAAUAUGGGGGGACCAUCCUCCAAGGCUAAAUACUCCUCUCUAUGACCAUCCUCCAAGGCUAAAUACUCCUGACUGACCGAUAGUGAACCAGUACCGUGAGGGAAAGGCGAAAAGAACCCCGGCGAGGGGAGUGAAAAAGAACCUGAAACCGUGUACGUACAAGCAGUGGGAGCCUCUUAAUGGGGUGACUGCGUACCUUUUGUAUAAUGGGUCAGCGACUUAUAUUCUGUAGCAAGGUUAACCGACUUAUAUUCUGUAGCAAGGUUAACCGAAUAGGGGAGCCGAAGGGAAACCGAGUCUUAACUGGGCGUUAAGUUGCAGGGUAUAGACCCGAAACCCGGUGAUCUAGCCAUGGGCAGGUUGAAGGUUGGGUAACACUAACUGGAGGACCGAACCGACUAAUGUUGAAAAAUUAGCGGAUGACUUGUGGCUGGGGGUGAAAGGCCAAUCAAACCGGGAGAUAGCUGGUUCUCCCCGAAAGCUAUUUAGGUAGCGCCUCGUGAAUUCAUCUCCGGGGGUAGAGCACUGUUUCGGCAAGGGGGUCAUCCCGACUUACCAACCCGAUGCAAACUGCGAAUACCGGAGAAUGUUAUCACGGGAGACACACGGCGGGUGCUAACGUCCGUCGUGAAGAGGGAAACAACCCAGACCGCCAGCUAAGGUCCCAAAGUCAUGGUUAAGUGGGAAACGAUGUGGGAAGGCCCAGACAGCCAGGAUGUUGGCUUAGAAGCAGCCAUCAUUUAAAGAAAGCGUAAUAGCUCACUGGUCGAGUCGGCCUGCGCGGAAGAUGUAACGGGGCUAAACCAUGCACCGAAGCUGCGGCAGCGACACUAUGUGUUGUUGGGUAGGGGAGCGUUCUGUAAGCCUGUGAAGGUGGCCUGUGAGGGUUGCUGGAGGUAUCAGAAGUGCGAAUGCUGACAUAAGUAACGAUAAAGCGGGUGAAAAGCCCGCUCGCCGGAAGACCAAGGGUUCCUGUCCAACGUUAAUCGGGGCAGGGUGAGUCGACCCCUAAGGCGAGGCCGAAAGGCGUAGUCGAUGGGAAACAGGUUAAUAUUCCUGUACUUGGUGUUACUGCGAAGGGGGGACGGAGAAGGCUAUGUUGGCCGGGCGACGGUUGUCCCGGUUUAAGCGUGUAGGCUGGUUUUCCAGGCAAAUCCGGAAAACCAAGGCUGAGGCGUGAUGACGAGGCACUACGGUGCUGAAGCGACAAAUGCCCUGCUUCCAGGAAAAGCCUCUAAGCAUCAGGUAACAUCAAAUCGUACCCCAAACCGACACAGGUGGUCAGGUAGAGAAUACCAAGGCGCUUGAGAGAACUCGGGUGAAGGAACUAGGCAAAAUGGUGCCGUAACUUCGGGAGAAGGCACGCUGAUAUGUAGGUGAAGCGACUUGCUCGUGGAGCUGAAAUCAGUCGAAGAUACCAGCUGGCUGCAACUGUUUAUUAAAAACACAGCACUGUGCAAACACGAAAGUGGACGUAUACGGUGUGACGCCUGCCCGGUGCCGGAAGGUUAAUUGAUGGGGUUAGCGGCAACGCGAAGCUCUUGAUCGAAGCCCCGGUAAACGGCGGCCGUAACUAUAACGGGCCGUAACUAUAACGGUCCUAAGGUAGCGAAAUUCCUUGUCGGGUAAGUUCCGACCUGCACGAAUGGCGUAAUGAUGGCCAGGCUGUCUCCACCCGAGACUCAGUGAAAUUGAACUCGCUGUGAAAUUGAACUCGCUGUGAAGAUGCAGUGUACCCGCGGCAAGACGGAAAGACCCCGUGAACCUUUACUAUAGCUUGACACUGAACAUUGAGCCUUGAUGUGUAGGAUAGGUGGGAGGCUUUGAAGUGUGGACGCCAGUCUGCAUGGAGCCGACCUUGAAAUACCACCCUUUAAUGUUUGAUGUUCUAACGUUGGCCCGUAAUCCGGGUUGCGGACAGUGUCUGGUGGGUAGUUUGACUGGGGCGGUCUCCUCCUAAAGAGUAACGGAGGAGCACGAAGGUUGGCUAAUCCUGGUCGGACAUCAGGAGGUUAGUGCAAUGGCAUAAGCCAGCUUGACUGCGAGCGUGACGGCGCGAGCAGGUGCGAAAGCAGGUCAUAGUGAUCCGGUGGUUCUGAAUGGAAGGGCCAUCGCUCAACGGAUAAAAGGUACUCCGGGGAUAACAGGCUGAUACCGCCCAAGAGUUCAUAUCGACGGCGGUGUUUGGCACCUCGAUGUCGGCUCAUCACAUCCUGGGGCUGAAGUAGGUCCCAAGGGUAUGGCUGUUCGCCAUUUAAAGUGGUACGCGAGCUGGGUUUAGAACGUCGUGAGACAGUUCGGUCCCUAUCUGCCGUGGGCGCUGGAGAACUGAGGGGGGCUGCUCCUAGUACGAGAGGACCGGAGUGGACGCAUCACUGGUGUGGGGCCCUCGGGUUGUCAUGCCAAUGGCACUGCCCGGUAGCUAAAUGCGGAAGAGAUAAGUGCUGAAAGCAUCUAAGCACGAAACUUGCCCCGAGAUGAGUUCUCCCUAACUGCCCCGAGAUGAGUUCUCCCUGACUCCUUGA
rnacentral:rRNA from 1 species